UUCACAGAGAUCGGUGUUACUGUGAAAGAGAGAGAGCUGAAUGUUAAUGCUGCACUUUCCUGCAUUACAUGUCUUUGUUUUAUCUCAGUUUUAUCUCAGACGGAGAGAAUAAAUCUGAUUGAGUGCAAUGGUGGAUGGCUUCCUUUAUUGUGUCCAAGACCUGAGUUAUUAUGGACGGGUGUGUUGCUGAUGGGACACCCGUUACACUGGAGUAGGAGUG